rnacentral:piRNA from 1 species
UAAGCUUACGUGAAUAUGUGUAAUACAUUU